UGUUAUUCAGUGGCGAAGCUCGUUAACGUUAGGUGAAUGCGUACGGUCGCGGUUGCGAAAAUCAAUCUUGUUUUUAAAUUGUCAGAGUAUUAACACACUACAUUUACUCUGUUAACGUUACAUGUACUUAAGAAGCACUUUAGGAUAUAUUUAACAGUUAAAGUGGGUAUUUUUACUUUUACUCGUAACUCGGUGAUAUUUCUAAUGAAAAUGACAUGCACUCAGUUUUGCACGACGCACUUUAUUUUAAUGCAGUACGAAAUGCGAACGUCAGAUUAUUGUUAUUUUUUCAUAAUUUGCCGAAGCAUUUGAUUUGUGAAUGAAUGACUCUUUUGAACGAGUCGAUUCUUCACAAAAGGAAUUACUGUUUUGUACCGGGUCGAUUCUAAAAUAGGUAUUGUUUGAACGGUUUGAAUCAAUUUGAAUGAUUUGUUCCGCUGCAAGAUCUGAAUCAUCUGUACAUCUGCAGCACUUCUCUCUCGUAACGUCGUGAAACUUAAAAACACGCCAAUAGGAGUGUUAGAUGAAGUGGAUGCAAGUGAACUAUCAAUCUACUGAAACAAAAGCGGUAAAUGUAUUCGAAGAAGAAAAUGCUCGCGCGACCUGUGCGUCAGACCCGGAUAAACGCACGCGAGCUGACAAAAUCCUUAGUAGCUGUUAUUCAAUACCAUAUGCUCUUAAGGACAACGCCCUGAUGUCCAAGGUCAAUCAGCAAGAAGCUGAGAAGGCACUGUCAAAAUGGUUCACUGGGGCAAGGGACAGAGGAGGACAGAGAGCAUCAAGAAUGCAGAAAAGGAUGUCUAUUUGAGAAAGGUUAUAACUACAGUUGCUGAUUUGAACUGUCAUAGUUCUUUUAUUUUUCUUAAAGGAAAACCUUUUUCAAUAUUUUACCAUGUUCUUCCCUCAACUUAGAUGAAUUGAUACAUACCUCUAUUUUCUCAAUGCGUGCACUUAAAGGUGGGGUGCACAAUUUCUGAAAAAUAAAGUUUUGGAAAAGGGAGUCGGGCCGACUACCAAAACACACUUGUAGCCAAUCAGCAGCAUGUCUACUAACUGACAUCGUUUCCUGCGUUGCGUAUUUGUGGGGCGGGUCUAUCAAAAAAGGUCCAGAUUCUAUUAGUGUAAGGGUGUGUUUGUUUAGAUGAUUUCAAAUGUAAACAUUGGCUUUCAUGCACCCUGCCUUUAUUUGUUGUGAAUUGUGGCGUGAAUAUGUUAGCAUUUAGCCUAGCACCUUUCAUUCAUUAAGAUCCAAACAGGGAAGAAUUUAAAAGCCACCAAACACGUCCAUGUUUUCUAGGGGUGCACGAUUCAGAAAAUUUCACGAUUCGAUUCCGAUUUUUGGGCUCAAGAUUCGAUUAAAAAAAAACCGAUUUUCGAUUCAAAAACGAUUCUUGAUUUUAACAAACGAUUCACAUUAUGUAAAUGUAGUUUACUUUUUCCUAUGUGACUGAUUGAAGUAGAUAUACAAUUUUAAAGAAAAGAAACACAACAAGCUAAAUGUAGUUGUAUGUAUGAUGUCUUUAUGCAAAAAUAAAAACUGUUAUGAAGCAAUUAGAUGACCCCUUUUAUCAAACUCUAUUAAAUACAAUAAUAUAGAACAUUAAUGAUAGACAGUGCAGGUCUAUAGAUUAUAAAUGUGACUGGUGUUAUAAUGGUUAUUAUUUCUAUUAGAUAGGCACUUUUCCUGCUUCUGCUCUUUCUAUCUAUUUCUCUCUUGCCGAUUUAAAAAAGCUAAAUCCACUCAUUAUUUCAGAUUGAAAAGUCUACUUGCUGUUAGUGACAGGGGACUUUACAUUACAGCUUUGGGUUUUGUAAAUCUUGAGUCAGCUUGAGUUUUGCUCAUUCAGUGCAAUAGAUUUUGGAAAAGAUAUGGUUUAUUAAUAAUAAUAGAAAAGACAGGGUUCCCGCGGGGUCUUAAAAAGUCUAAAAUUCAGAAUGUUAAAUUUAAGGCCUUAAAAAGUCUUAAAAACACCCAGAUUUUUAUCCCAGGUCUUAAAUUUAAUUUACCCGAGUCUUAAAUUUCUUACCUCUUUUCAUUCCCGAAAAGCGUUGUCGGCAGAAAAUAAAAUAGUAAUUUAAAACGCUGAAGAACUAACUUAAUGGCGGAGGCAGAAAGUGUAUGAUGGUGGGUCUCUAAAAAGAAACGUUCCGCCCUUUGCAAAUCGUGCCAUAACAGGGUACCCGCGGAGUCUUAAAAGUCUUGAAAAAGCAUUGAAUUUCAUUUUCCCAUAUUAAGGCCUUAAAAGGUAUUGAAUUUCACCUCAAAGUCUUGAAUUUUUCACGGAGGUCUUAAUUUUUCAAAUGAUCAAUAGAUUUAUAUGCUGUUAAUUCAGAUACAAAACUCACGUGCACGAAAACCACGCGCGAGUGAUAGAUACGAGCGCAGAACACUAUCCAUGUUUGGAACAGCAUCUUAGCGAGCGCGCAGAACACUAUUCGCGCGCUGAAAAACGUC